GACGAACGCUGGCGGCGUGCUUAACACAUGCAAGUGGUGCGACGAACCAGGCUUCGGCCAGGGGCGAAGCCGCGAACGGGUGAGUAACACGUGGGCAAUCUGCCCCUUUGAUCGGGACAACCCGGGGAAACCCGGGCUAAUACCGAAUGAGGUGGCGACUCAUGAGAGUCGUCACGAAAGGAGGCUUCGGCCUCCGCGAAGGGAUGGGCCCGCGGCCCAUUAGCUUGUUGGUGGGGUAAUGGCUUACCAAGGCAACGAUGGGUAGCUGGUCUGAGAGGACGAUCAGCCACACUGGGACUGAGACACGGCCCAGACUCCUACGGGAGGCUGCAGUGGGGAAUCUUGCGCAAUGAGCGACAGCUUGACGCAGCAACGCCGCGUGAGGGAAGAAGGCCUUCGGGUCGUAAACCUCUUUCAGUUAGGACGAAGCUUUAUUGGUUAAUAACCAAUUGGAGUGACGGUACUUUCAGAAGAAGCCCCGGCUAACUACGUGCCAGCCGCCGCAGUAA
rnacentral:rRNA from 1 species